CAUCCUGCGUAGGGCGGGCACAGCCUCCCAGGGGCGGGGCCAGAGCUGGUCACCUGCUCACCUGAGGUGAACUCUGAACCCCUCUGGGCCGCAGCCUCUACACUCUGCGUGCUCUCCAGCUGGGCGCCGCUUAUCCGCUCAUCCCCACGGGAGGGAAACGGCCCCGCCUCCUGGAACUUUUCCCUUAGAGCUGCAGCCCGCCAGUUCGGAGUUGGGGUAGAGGGUUAUGAUCUACCUUCACCCUCCACCAUUCAGCACGCAUUUAUGGAGCACCUACUGUGAGCAUACAGUACUCUAAGCAUCCGAGAAGCCGAGCUUGGGGCGCGCCUGCAGUGCCAACUGUGUGGGAGGCUGAGGCAGGAGGAUCACUUGCGCCCGGGAACCCGGCAAUAUAGUGACCCUCUUAAAAAAAAAAAAAAAAAAAAGGCAAAGAAAAAAACCCACCGAUAUCCAACCAGAAACCAAACAAGAUCACUAUCCUCCUGGAGCUGACCUUCUGACGUUAAGUAGGAGCUGCGGGAUAAUUAGAGAGCACCCUUCUGGCAGAGGCUCGGCGCCCGGGGAAAAUGCACGCAGGACAGAAAGUCACAGGAAGCGCAGCCUCAGAAGCCGGCUGAGUAGAGCGGGACUGUGGUAUCGCUUGGGCGAGCACACAGGCAACAGAGAACUGCAAAAGGUUCACACAAACUUUGUCAUGAGGAAAGCAAGAAACACAAACAACAAAACCUGCGUGUUCAAAGGAACUGAACCUGUCAAACCUUCCUGUCACUUAUUUCAGUCAAAAAGACACGUGGAGAGAGCAGUCUGUUCCCAGACAGUGACUUGAUAGAAUCCACGACCUUGCACUUGUCAGACAGGCGUUUGUGCCACUGAGCUAAAUCCCCAGCCGUCACCAAAGCACAGAGAGAGCUUUUCCCAGACGAUGAAGAAAACUGAGUCCUGGUGAAGCAGACACGUGAGCAGCUAACAGUGACAGUUACACGGACUGCAGACGGCUGUGACCAUGUUGGUGCUGAGCAGGCUGAGUGCUGGCUGACUCUCAUGGCAAGGAUCUGAGCCGUCGGGUGCUGAGGGGUGCUGAGGGCCCGGCAGAGGCUGCCAGCAGAAGCCUCCCAGUGAUACCAGAAGGGCAGGACCGAGCCCGAGGAGCACAGUAAUCACAGAGGUGCCCUGAACGGGCAGACCGCGCAGUUAUCUAGAACAGCAAGAUGCCAGCUUCUGCUGACCAGUGGCUGUUACGGGGCUUCGGACCACAAGAAAGAAACAGAAGAUCCAAAAUAACAGAAACCAUCCCUGGCGCGUGCAGUGCCCCCUGUAUGUUCAUCUUGGUGACUGUGGAUCUGCGGUGGGACGUACCCGGGUGGAAAUGGUUGGGUCCUAAGGCCAAACAGGCUUUAUAAGCCAGUUUAGGGUUAGAUGGCAUCUUGGGUGACCUAAAUCACAGUUCUGAAUGUGACUCUGGAAUCUGAGUGUUGAUGUGGAACCUGUCUACUGUUCUUAAUCUGUGUUAUAUGAAGUAAAUUAUGAGUAAUGUCAGGCCAGGCCAGGGAUCUGUGUGUGUUUGUGCUGAGUUGCAGGGUGUCUAACAAAAGUCCCUGCACAUUACACACACUCCAUAAAUUUUACUUAAAUUGAAAAAAGAAAUAUUCACGGCAGCUUCGUUCAUUACAUCUCCAAACUACAUGCACAGCCUACCUGGCAAAUCUAGAAAAGAUUAAUGGAGAUGAGGAAGUUCAGCUAAGAGGGGAAAUACAAUGCAGCCUAGAGAAAGUGGGCUGGUUCCACAGGAGAGUGGACGGUUUUCAGGAACACAGUGUGGAGUGAGAGGGGGUAUACAAAACAGCUCCAGGUGCACAAACCGGACUAGGUUAACCUCUGCUAGCACGAGUCAGGGUGAUGAUGAGCUUUGGGAGGUGGGUGGUGGCCAAGAGAGGACCUGGGUGCAGGAAUGUUCAGUGUCAGGCCUCACAGGUGUGUCUAGUUUGAAAAUUUGACAGGCCAGGCUGGCCUCCAACUCAGCGAUUCUUCUGUCUCAGCCUCCUGGGUGCUGGGAUUACUGAUGUAAGCCACCACACCAAGGCCCUAAUAAGACUUUGGACCUCA